CUCCCGUGCCUACUGAGCUGAAACAGUUGAUUCCAGUGCACUGGCUCAGUUCAGCAGGAACAGGAG
rnacentral:pre_miRNA from 7 species